rnacentral:rRNA from 1 species
UACAGAGGUCCCGAGCGUUGUUCGGAGUUACUGGGCGUAAAGGGUGUGUAGGCGGUUGUUUAAGUUUGGUGUGAAAUCCCCCGGCUCAACCCGGGGAAUGGCUGGGCAUACUGGCGAUCUUGAGCAGUCUAGGGGCAGAUGGAACAGACGGUGGAGCGGUGAAAUGCGUAGAUAUCGUAAGGAAGACCAGUGGCGAAGGCGGGUCUCUGGACAGUUCCUGACGCUGAGGCACGAAGGCCAGGGGAGCAAACGGG